rnacentral:rRNA from 1 species
UUCGUAUCAGCUAGUUGGUGAGGUAACGGCUCACCAAGGCGACGACGCGUAGCCGGACUGAGAGGUUGGCCGGCCUCAUUGGGACUGAGACACUGCCCAGACUCCUACGGGGGGCUGCAGUAACGAAUCUUCCGCAAUGCACGAAAGUGUGACGGAGCGACGCCGCGUGUGGGACGAAGCCCUUCGGGGUGUAAACCACUGUCAGGGGUUACCAAGUUCUGAGGAGCCCCAGAGGAAGGCACGGCUAACUCUGUGCCAGCAGCCGCGGUAAGACAGAGGUGCCAAGCGUUAGGCGGUAUCACUGGGCUUAAAGCGUGUGUAGGCGGACUGGUAAGUACCUUGUGAAAUCCCACGGCUCAACCGUGGAACUGCUCGGUAUACUGCUCGUCUUGAGCCACUUAGGGGCUGUC